rnacentral:rRNA from 1 species
UACGUAGGGGGCAAGCGUUUGUCCGGAAUCAUUGGGCGUAAAGCGCGUGUAGGCGGCUCGGUAAGUCCGCUCUGAAAGUCCAGGGCUCAACCCUGGGAUGCGGGUGGAUACUGCCGGGCUAGAGUCCGGAAGAGGCGAGUGGAACUCCUGGUGUAGCGGUGGAAUGCGCAGAUAUCAGGAAGAACACCAACGGCGAAGGCAGCUCGCUAGGACGGUACUGACGCUGAGACGCGAAAGCGUGGGGAGCGAACAGG